UAUGAAUACCCAGAGGACAUGACCAGUAC
rnacentral:piRNA from 1 species